UCGAGGGGUAUAGUUCUUCGGAGCUAGAGACCGGCGCACGGGUGCGUAACGCGUAUGCAACCUACCUUUCACAGGGGGAUAGCCCAGAGAAAUUUGGAUUAAUACCCCAUGGUAUAUAUGGAUGGCAUCAUCUAUAUAUUAAAGUUCCAACGGUGAAAGAUGGGCAUGCGUCCCAUUAGCUAGAUGGUAAGGUAACGGCUUACCAUGGCUACGAUGGGUAGGGGUCCUGAGAGGGAGAUCCCCCACACUGGUACUGAGACACGGACCAGACUCCUACGGGAGGCAGCAGUGAGGAAUAUUGGACAAUGGGCGCAAGCCUGAUCCAGCCAUGCCGCGUGCAGGAUGAAGCAUCUAUGGUGUGUAAACUGCUUUUGUACGAGAAGAAACACUGCUUCGUGAAGCAGCUUGACGGUAUCGUAAGAAUAAGGAUCGGCUAACUCCGUGCCAGCAGCCGCGGUAAUACGGAGGAUCCAAGCGUUAUCCGGAAUCAUUGGGUUUAAAGGGUCCGUAGGCGGCCUUAUAAGUCAGUGGUGAAAUCUCCCCGCUCAACGGGGAAACGGCCAUUGAUACGGUAAGGCUUGAAUUAUUAGGAAGUAACUAGAAUAUGUAGUGUAGCGGUGAAAUGCUUAGAGAUUACAUGGAAUACCAAUUGCGAAGGCAGGUUACUACUAAUGGAUUGACGCUGAUGGAC
rnacentral:rRNA from 1 species